rnacentral:lncRNA from 1 species
CUGGGUUUUCUAUUAAGUUCUAAAAAAACCUUGCUAUCUAAACACAUUUUAUUUUCUUAAUGUGUUUUGAUGAAGUGACUGAAUGUGUUCUGUGAUUCUGAGCUUUCUUGGUUUUCCGAAGCCCUGAUUAAUAGUGUUUUGUAAACAGGAACCUGGAUUUGAAUCAAUGAGGAAGAAUAUCUUCUGUUCUGAUUCCCUAUUUGAUAAACGGGCAGCAAGUACCUGCUUGCCUGACUAAACUCGCUGCCAGCAUGAGGCCUUCACAACACUUGUGCUCCUCUUCUCCUUGGGAUGUGUUUAUCGCACCUGCAAUCCGUUCUACAUCAGUUUGAUUCUAUCUGAUAUUAUGUGUACUGAACAGAAAGCAAAAAAAAGGACAAAUUGAGAGACACUGCAGUAGCAAUAUGGCUUCUCAGGACACGUAGGUCCAGCCAAAGAACCAGUGCAAAAUGGAGCAGUUGGAGUCACUCCAAGAUCACCCUCUAGGCCCUGACCAUCUCACAAAUGCCAGUUGAGAAACGUGAUGAUCCAUGGGAAUUUGAACUCCAGCUAUCUGCUUUGUGCAGCUCCACAAAAUGGCCAGCCCUUUGUUCAUGCCUGUCCAGGAGCUGGACAUCGUGUACCUGUUCCUCAGACAUACAGCCAAAGGCAUUGCUUCCAGAGUUGUUUCUCCAAUGGAAACCAAAGUGAAGCUGACAGGUGCUGCUAGGCUGGAAAAGCUAAUAGAUUUCAUGCCACUUGCUGUGAAGAGAGAAGGAGGAAGUCGUGGGAACAUUUUUAAAGAGGUGGAGAAGCAGCUGAAGGGCUGGCCCUGGUCCAGCUGUGCCUGCUGAAGAUAGAAGGUGGC